AGAGCGAACGCUGGCGGCAGGCUUAACACAUGCAAGUCGAGCGGGCGUAGCAAUACGUCAGCGGCAGACUGGUGAGUAACGCGUGGGAACGUACCUUUUGGUUCGGAACAACACAGGGAAACUUGUGCUAAUACCGGAUAAGCCCUUACGGGGAAAGAUUUAUCGCCGAAAGAUCGGCCCGCGUCUGAUUAGCUAGUUGGUGAGGUAACGGCUCACCAAGGCGACGAUCAGUAGCUGGUCUGAGAGGAUGAUCAGCCACAUUGGGACUGAGACACGGCCCAAACUCCUACGGGAGGCAGCAGUGGGAAUAUUGGACAAUGGGCGAAAGCCUGAUCCAGCCAUGCCGCGUGAGUGAUGAAGGCCCUAGGGUUGUAAAGCUCUUUGUGCGGGAAGAUAAUGACGGUACCGCAAGAAUAAGCCCGGCUAACUUCGCGCCAGCAGCCGC
rnacentral:rRNA from 1 species